GACGAACGCUGGCGGCGUGCUUAACACAUGCAAGUCGAGCGGAGCGGCGAACGGGUGAGUAACGCGUGAGUAAUUGCCCCCCUCCCUGGGAUAACAGUUGGAAACGGCUGCUAAUACCGGAUAGUGGGGGAUGACUCGCGUCCUAUCAGCUUGUUGGUGGGGUAGUGGCAUACCAAGGCGACGACGGGUAGCCGGCCUGAGAGGGCGACCGGCCACAUUGGGCUAAGAAACGGCCCAAGCUCAUACGGGAGACAGCAGAGGGAAGUAUUACACAGUGGGGGAAACCAUGAUGGAGCAACGCCGCGUGCGGAAUGACGGCCUUCGGGUUGUAAACCGCUUUCAGCCAUGACGCGGUAGUGGCAGAAGAAGCACCGGCUAACUACGUGCCAGCAGCCGCGGUAAUUC
rnacentral:rRNA from 1 species